AUGGAAAAGGAGCAAAUAUGGCUGCCUCCAUGGGCAUUGAACCAUUAUGGCCCCUGUAUUAAAGGCUGGAAUGUGCCCAUGCCUCUCAAAAGAGCUAUGCGAGUCGCUGUGGAGACAAAAUGUGAAAACAGUAGAGAGCUUCGUUUCGGCAGACUUGAAGAUUCUUUCACUGAGAGACGGACUUGAUUACAAGGAGCUCUGCACAUUAAAACAUGCUCUUCUGCUACAAUUCGCUGCUUUCCCUGUUAACGGUGUGGAUCUGUAUGACCACAUGCUGUCGUACUUGGCUAUUCUAGCAACAGGAUGUCCGGGCCUUGACCGACUGCUAGAUGGUGGAAUUUUCACAGGAGAAAUCACAGAAGUCUGUGGAUCGACAGCCACCGGUAAAACGCAGUUGUGCAUGAGCAUAGCUGCAAAUGUUGCGGCACGGAAUGGACAAAAUACUUUCUACAUCAGCACCAACGCAGGCUUCUUCAGUGACCGGCUGCUGCAGAUCAUCGCUUCGAAAUUCACCAGUGAUGAAGGCAGUGUAGAUGAGAGUUUGGUGACAGCAGCACUGGCCAGGGUGCGUUGCCAGCAUGCCUUCGAGUUGUCAGAUCUGAUGAAGACCCUGCAUGAAGUCAGCAAUCAGCUAACCUCACAGGUGGAUUCCUUCUUUGGUUCCCUGAAGGUCAUUGUGGUUGACUCUGUCACGGCAGUGUUGUCAUACCUUCUCAGUGCACAACACGCUGAAGGUCACAGGUCUAUGAUGGAGCUAGCCAGACUGCUGAAAAGUUUAUGCGCAGAAAACGGAGUAGCUGUUGUUGUGUCCUGAUAUCAUGCAAGGUGGCCCUGUCUACAGACACGCGUCCUUGCUGAAAAGUACAAGACAGGCAACAGGUCAGUCGGUCGA
rnacentral:misc_RNA from 1 species